GCGGAAGUGCCCGAGCCUGGUCCAAGGGGGCGGACUUAGGAUCCGUUGCCGUUGGCCGCGGGGGUUCGAAUCCCCCCUUCCGCA
rnacentral:tRNA from 3 species